rnacentral:rRNA from 1 species
CAUUUGCCAGAAUGUCUUCAUUAAUCAAGAACGAAAGUCAGAGGUUCGAAGGCGAUUAGAUACCGCCCUAGUUCUGACCGUAAACUAUGCCAUCUAGCGAUCCGAUGGGGUAUUGUUGCCUUGUCGAGGAGCUUCCCGGAAACGAAAGUCUUUCGGUUCCUGGGGUAGUAUGGUUGCAAAGCUGAAACUUAAAGAAAUUGACGGAAUGGCACCACCAGGAGUGGAGCCUGCGGCUUAAUUUGACUCAACACGGGAAAACUCACCCGGCCCGGACACCGUAAGGAUUGACAGAUUGAAAGCUCUUUCUCGAUUUGGUGGUUGGUGGUGCAUGGCCGUUCUUAGUUGGUGGAGCGAUUUGUCUGGUUUAUUCCGAUAACGAGCGAGACUCUAGCCUGCUAAAUAGUGGCUGAAUUUUUUGGUUCAGUCUACUUCUUAGAGGGAUAAGCGGUGUUUAGCCGCACGAGAUUGAGCGAUAACAGGUCUGUGAUGCCCUUAGAUGUCCGGGGCUGCACGCGCGCUACAAUGGAAGAAUCAGCUGGCCUAUCCAUUGCCGAAAGGCAUUGGUAAACCGUUGAAACUCUUCCGUGACCGGGAUAGGGAAUUGUAAUUAUUUCCCUUGAACGAGGAAUUCCUAGUAAGUGUGAGUCAUCAGCUCACGCUGAUUACGUCCCUGCCAUUUGUACACACCGCCCGUCGCUGUCCGGGACUGAGCUGUCUCGAGAGGACUGCGGACUGCUGUAUCGAGGUCUUCGGGUCGCGGUAUAGCGGGAAACAGUUCA